CGACUUCGGUAACCGUAGCAACCAGAAUGCUUGGACUCCGCACUGCCGCUGUCCACCUGCAGAGGGGGGAAGAGAGUCUAGUCUAUUAAGUGUGAGACAGUGGAGGCCCUGGGAAGGAAAAUACCAUGAAAUUCAAUAGCUAUGUAUGUGUUCUGGUAGCUCAGUCUAGAUUGAUCUACAUUUACCAAACUGCUACAGCACUGUCAAAAAAAAUGAUGGAUUCUUCAGCCAGUUCCCCUGUAACCUUGUACACUUAGGUACAUUGCAUCCAUCACAGUACUCGACAAGUAUUGUUAUUCAUUCAAGUUGCUGUGGUAACCUAAGCACAAGUGCAGAUAGACUUGAAUUUUAGGAAGGAACCUAGCAUAACUGUCAUUAGCAAGUCAUCAGAGAAGCUUCACCGAGCAAGUCAUAGAAACAGAUGCAGAGACUCACAGCUAAAUAUUGGGUGGAACUUGAGGAACCCUGUAGGAAGAACCUUAUGAACCAGAGGGACCAAGGACACCACAAGAAAACUCACAGCAUCAAUUAAUCUCACAGAGGACUCACACCGACUGUAUUGACAAUCAGGGAGCCUGUAAGGAACUAAGCAUGGCCCUCUCAUAUAUGUUAUGGUUUUGUAUCUUGGGUCUUUGUUGUAUUCCUAACAGUGGGAACAGGGGAUGUCUCUGACUCUGUUGAAUGCUUUUUGAAUCCGUUUCUCCUGGGGGGUUGUCUUAAUAUAGGGGAGGUGCGAAGUAUUCUAUUGUACCUUACCAUGUUUGGUUGAUGUCUCUGGAAAAUGGAGGAGUGGAUGGGAGGAGAUGGAGGGUGGUAGACAAGGAACUGUGGGGAGAAAAGGGAAGGAAAGUUGUGGUUUGGAUUCAAUAUAUGGGAGAAGAAUAAAUAAGCAAUUUAAAAACCUUAUGUACAGAUAGGGAAGCAAAACCAGAACUGAAAUGUAAGCCAUGGGUUUUCAUUUGUUUGUUAGUUUUGUUUUUUACACUAAAAUGUUAAGGCUUGUCUUUCAGAUAAUGAUUCAUGACAAAAUGAAAUAAACCACAUGAAAACAA